UAAGAGGUCCUGCCUGCCCAGUGACCAUGUGUUCAACGGCCGCGGUAUUUUAACCGCGCAAAGGUAGCGUAAUCAUUUGUCUUUUAAAUGUAGACCUGUAUGAAUGGCGCGACGAGGGCUUAACUGUCUCCUUUUUCCAGUCAAUGAAAUUGAUCUCCCCGUGCAGAAGCGGAGAUGACCACAUAAGACGAGAAGACCCUGUGGAGCUUUAGACACUAAACAGACAAUAGUACCUCCCUACAAAGAGAUAAACCUACUGACCCCUGCCGCUAUGUCUUUGGUUGGGGCGACCUCGGAGAACCACAAAACCCCCGUGUGGAACAGGAACAACUUACCUUUUCUUACAACCCAAAACCAAGAGUUACCACUCUAAUUAACAGAACUUCUGACCAAUGAGGAUCCGGCUUAUGCCGAUCAACGAACCAAGUUACCCCAGGGAUAACAGCGCAAUCCUCUUCUAGAGUCCCUAUCGACAAGAGGGUUUACGACCUCGAUGUUGGAUCAGGGCUCCUAAUGGCGCAGCCGCUAUUAAGGUUCGUUUGUUCAACGAUUGAAGCC
rnacentral:rRNA from 1 species